CAGUAGCCGCGGUAAUACGGAGGGUGCAAGCGUUAAUCGGAAUUACUGGGCGUAAAGCGCACGCAGGCGGUCUGACAAGUCAGAUGUGAAAUCCCCGGGCUUAACCUGGGAACUGCAUUUGAAACUGUCAGGCUGGAGUCUUGUAGAGGGGGGUGGAAUUCCAGGUGUAGCGGUGAAAUGCGUAGAGAUCUGGAGGAAUACCGGUGGCGAAGGCGGCCCCCUGGACAAAGACUGACGCUCAGGUGCGAAAGCGUGGGGAGCAAACAGGAUUAGAUACCCGGGUAGUCCCUGUCUCUUAUUU
rnacentral:rRNA from 1 species